GGCCUGGUAGCUCAAUGGUAGAGCAGCGGCCUUUUAAGCCGUUGGUUGAGGGUUCGAGUCCCUCCCGGGUCACCA
rnacentral:tRNA from 2 species